rnacentral:rRNA from 1 species
UACGGAGGGGGCUAGCGUUGUUCGGAAUUACUGGGCGUAAAGCGCGCGUAGGCGGCUUUGUAAGUCAGAGGUGAAAGCCUGGAGCUCAACUCCAGAACUGCCUUUGAAACUACAUCGCUAGAAUCAUGGAGAGGUUAGUGGAAUUCCGAGUGUAGAGGUGAAAUUCGUAGAUAUUCGGAAGAACACCGGUGGCGAAGGCGACCAUCUGGACGGAUACUGACGCUGAGACGCGAAAGCGUGGGUAGCAAACAGG